rnacentral:rRNA from 1 species
UACGGGGGGAGCAAGCGUUGUUCGGAUUUACUGGGCGUAAAGGGCGCGUAGGCGGCCACGACAAGUCAGUUGUGAAAUCUCUGGGCUUAACUCAGAACGGUCAACUGAUACUGUCGGGCUAGAGUGCAGAAGGGGCAACUGGAAUUCUCGGUGUAGCGGUGAAAUACGUAGAUAUCGAGAGGAACACCUGCGGCGAAGGCGGGUUGCUGGGCUGACACUGACGCUGAGGCGCGAAAGCUAGGGGAGCGAACGGG